rnacentral:lncRNA from 1 species
AGUAGAAGGUGCUUCGGUCGUUGUGGUUGUAAGAACAGCAGUUGUUGUAGUUGGAGCUGCACUGGUUGUCGUAGUAGGUUCUGGAGUUGUAGUGGUCGUAGGAGCAGCAGUUGUUGUAGUUAGGGCUGCAGUGGUUGUCGUAGGGGCAGCUGAUGUGGUUGAAGUAGAUGCUAAAGUUGUUGUGGGAGCUACAGUUGUUGUAGGUGAUGCUGUUGUGGUUGUCGUAGGAGCUGAAGUUGUAGUAGAAGGUGCUUCGGUCGUUGUGGUUGUAAGAACAGCAGUUGUUGUAGUUGGAGCUGCACUGGUUGUCGUAGUAGGUUCUGGAGUUGUAGUGGUCGUAGGAGCUGCAGUUGUUGUAGUUAGGGCUGCAGUGGUUGUCGUAGGGGCAGCUGCUGUGGUUGAAGUAGAUGCUAAAGUUGUUGUAGGAGCUGCAGUUGUCGUGGGAGCUACAGUUGUUGUAGGUGUUGCUGUUUUGGUUGUCGUAGGAGCUGAAGUUGUAGUUGUUGAAGAAGGUGCUUCGGUCGUUGUGGUUGUAAGAACAGCAGUUGUAGUUGGAGCUGCACUGGUUGUCGUAGUAGGUUCUGGAGUUGUAGUCGUCGUAGGAGCAGCAGUUGUUGUAGUUAGGGCUGCAGUGGUUGUCGUAGGGGCAGCUGAUGUGGUUGAAGUAGAUGCUAAGGUUGUUGUGGGAGCAACAGUUGUUGUAGGUGUUGCUGUUGUGGUUGUCGUAGGAGCUGAAGUUGUAGUUGUUGUAGAAGGUGCUGCGGUCGCAGUGGUUGUAAGAAUAGCAGUUGUUGCAGAGGUUGUUGUAAUAGGUUCUGGAGUUGUAGUGGUUGUUGGAGCAGCAGUUGUUGAAGUUAGAGCUGCAGUGGUUGUUGUAGAGGCAGCUGCUGUGGUUGACGUAGAAGCUACAAUUGUUGUUGCUGUAGUUGUGAUUGUUGUAGUAAGUACAGCAGGUGUAGUUGUUGUGGGAGCUACAGUUGUUGUAGGUGCUGUUGUUGUGGUUGUCGUCGGAGCUGAAGUUGUAGUUGUUGUAGAAGGAGCUGCGGUCGUUGUGGUCGUAAGAACAGCAGUUGUUGUAGUUGGAGCUGCACUGGUUGUCGUAGUAGGUUCUGGAAUUGUAGUGGUCGUAGGAGCAGCAGUUGUUGUAGUUAGGGCUGCAGUGGUUGUCGUAGGGGCAGCUGCUGUGGUUGAAGUAGAUGCUAAAGUUAUUGUAGGAGCUGCAGUUGUCGUAGGAGCUGAAGUUGUACUUGUAGAAGGUGCUUCGGUCGUUGUGGUUGUAAGAACAUCAGUUGUUGUAGUAGGAGCUGCCCUGGUUGUCGUAGUAGUUUCUGGAGUUGUAGUGAUCGUGGAAGCAGCAGUUGUUGUAGUUAGGGCUGCAGUAGUUGUCGUAGGGGCUGCUGCUGUCGUUGAAGUAGAGGCUAAAGUUGUUGUAGGAGCUGCAGUUGUCGUUGGAGCUACAGUUGUUGUAGGUGUUGCUGUUGUGGUUGUCGUAGGAGCUGAAGUUGUAGUUGUUGUAGAAGGUGCUGCAGUCGCAGUGGUUGUAAGAAUAGCAGUUGUUGUAGCAGGAGCUGCAGUGGUUGUUGUAAUAGGUUCUGGAGUUGUAGUGAUCGUUGGAGCAGCAGUUGUUGAAGUUAGAGCUGCAGUGGUUGUUGUAGAGGCAGCAGCUGUGGUUGACGUAGAAGCUACAGUUGUUGUUGCUGGAGCUGUAGUUGUGAUUGUUGUAGUAAGUACAGCAGGUGUAGUGGUCGUGGGAGCUACAGUUGUAGGAACUGCAGGUGUUGUAGUAGGUGCUGUUGUUGUUGUUAUCGUAGGAGCUGAAGUUGUAGUUGUUGUAGAAGGUGCUGCGGUCAUUGUGGUCGUAAGAACAGCAGUUGUUGUAGUAGGAGCUGCACUGGUUGUCGUAGUAGGUUCUGGAAUUGUUGUGGUCGUAGGAGCAGCAGUUGUUGUAGUUAGGGCUGCAGUGGUUGUCGUAGGGCCAGCUGAUGUGGUUGAAGUAGAGGCUAAAGUGGUUGUGGGAGCUACAGUUGUUGUAGGUGUUGCUGUUGUGGUUGUCGUAGGAGCUGAAGUUGUAGUUGUUGUAGAAGGUGCUGCAGUCGCAGUGGUUGUAAGAAUAGCAGUUGUUGUAGCAGGAGCUGCAGUGGUUGUUGUAAUAGGUUCUGGAGUUGUAGUGGUCGUUGGAGCAACAGUUGUUGAAGUUAGAGCUGCAGUGGUUGUUGUUGAGGCAGCUGCUGUGGUUGACGUAGAAGCUACAGUUGUUGUUGCUGGAGCUGUAGUUGUCAUUGUUGUAGUAAGUACAGCAGGUGUAGUGGUCGUGGGAGCUACAGUUGUAGGAACUGCAGGUGUUAUAGUAGGUGCUGUUGUUGUGGUUGUCGUAGGAGCUGAAGUUGUAGUUGUUGUAGAAGGUGCUGCGGUCGUUGUGGUCGUAGGAGCUAAACUGGUUGUUGUAGUAGGUUCUGGAGUUGUAGUGGUCGUUGGAGCAGCAGUUGUUGUAGUUAGGGCUGCAGUAGUUGUCGUAGCUGCUGCUGCUGUGGUUGAAGUAGAGGCUAAAGUUGUUGUAGGAGCUGCAGUUGUCGUGGGAGCUACAGUUGUUGUAGGUGUUGCUGUUGUGGUUGUCGUUGGAGCUGAAGUUGUAGUUGUUGUAGAAGGUGCUUCGGUCGUUGUGGUUGUAAGAACAGCAAUUGUUGUAGUAGGAGCUGCACUGGUUGUCGUAGUAGGUUCUGGAGUUGUAGUGGUCGUAGGAGCAGCAGUUGUUGUAGUUAGGGCUGCAGUAGUUGUCGUAGCUGCUGCUGCUGUGGUUGAAGUAGAGGCUAAAGUUGUUGUAGGAGCUGCAGUUGUCGUGGGAGCUACAGUUGUUGUAGGUGUUGCUGUUGUGGUUGUCGUAGGAGCUGAAGUUGUAGUUGUUGUAGAAGGUGCUUCGGUCGUUGUGGUUGUAAGAACAUCAGUUGUUGUAGUUGGAGCUGCAGUGGUUGUCGUAGUAGGUUCUGGAGUUGUAGUGGUCGUCGGAGCAGCAAUUGUUGUAGUUAGGGCUGCAAUGGUUGUCGUAGGGGCAGCUGAUGUGGUUGAAGUAGAUGCUAAAGUUGUUGUGGGAGCUACAGUUGUUGUAGGUGUUGCUGUUGUGGUUGUCGUAGGAGCUGAAGUUGUAGUUGUUGUAGAAGGUGCUUCGGUCGUUGUGGUUGUAAGAGCAGCAGUUGUAGUUGGAGCUGCACUGGUUGUCGUAGUAGGUUCUGGAGUUGUAGUGGUCGUAGGAGCAGCAGUUGUUGUAGUUAGGGCUGCAGUAGUUGUCGUAGCGGCUGCUGCUGUGGUUGAAGUAGAGGC